rnacentral:rRNA from 1 species
GUUUGAUCCUGGCUCAGGAUGAACGCUGGCGGCGUGCUUAACACAUGCAAGUCGAGCGAAGCACUUAAGUGGAUCUCUUCGGAUUGAAACUUAUUUGACUGAGCGGCGGACGGGUGAGUAACGCGUGGGUAACCUGCCUCGUACAGGGGGAUAACAGUUAGAAAUGGCUGCUAAUACCGCAUAAGCGCACAGGACCGCAUGGUCUGGUGUGAAAAACUCCGGUGGUAUGAGAUGGACCCGCGUCUGAUUAGCUAGUUGGAGGGGUAACGGCCCACCAAGGCGACGAUCAGUAGCCGGCCUGAGAGAGUGAACGGCCACAUUGGGACUGAGACACGGCCCAGACUCCUACGGGAGGCAGCAGUGGGGAAUAUUGCACAAUGGGGGAAACCCUGAUGCAGCGACGCCGCGUGAAGGAAGAAGUAUCUCGGUAUGUAAACUUCUAUCAGCAGGGAAGAAAAUGACGGUACCUGACUAAGAAGCCCCGGCUAACUACGUGCCAGCAGCCGCGGUAAUACGUAGGGGGCAAGCGUUAUCCGGAUUUACUGGNUGUAAAGGGAGCGUAGACGGAAGAGCAAGUCUGAUGUGAAAGGCUGGGGCUUAACCCCAGGACUGCAUUGGAAACUGUUUUUCUAGAGUGCCGGAGAGGUAAGCGGAAUUCCUAGUGUAGCGGUGAAAUGCGUAGAUNUUAGGAGGAACACCAGUGGCGAAGGCGGCUUACUGGNCGGUAACUGACGUUGAGGCUCGAAAGCGUGGGGAGCAAACAGGAUUAGAUACCC